rnacentral:rRNA from 1 species
UAGGGAAUAUUAGUAAUGGGCGAAAGCCUGAACUAGCGACACCGCGUGUGCGAAGAAGGCCUUCGGGUUGUAAAGCACUUUUAGAGAGGAUGAGGAAGGACGGUACUCUCUGAAUAAGUCUCGGCUAACUACGUGCUAGCAGCCGCGGUAACACGUAGGAGGCAAACGUUAUCCGGAUUUACUGGGCGUAAAGCGCGUGUAGGUGGUUCUGUAAGUAGGGCGUGAAAGCUCCUGGCUCAACUGGGAGAGGCCGUUCUAAACUGCAGAGCUAGAGGAUGGUAGAGGAAGGUGGAAUUCCGGGUGUAGCGGUGGAAUGCGCAGAUAUCCGGAGGAACACCAGUGGCGAAGGCGGCCUUCUGGACCAUUCCUGACACUCAGACGCGAAAGCUAGGGUAGCAAACGG